UACAGAGGUCCCAAGCGUUGUUCGGAUUCAUUGGGCGUAAAGGGUGCGUAGGCGGCGCGGUAAGUCGGGUGUGAAAUCUCGGGGCUUAACUCCGAAACUGCAUUCGAUACUGCCGUGCUUGAGGACUGGAGAGGAGACUGGAAUUUACGGUGUAGCGGUGAAAUGCGUAGAUAUCGUAAGGAAGACCAGUGGCGAAGGCGGGUCUCCUGGACAGUUCCUGACGCUGAGGCACGAAGGCCAGGGGAGCAAACGGG
rnacentral:rRNA from 1 species